ensembl:lncRNA
GUCCUGAUUCUCUGAAACGUCCAAGAGGAUCAUAAAGGGACCUUCCUGGGCUGCGAUCAAUUACCGCCACUGCACCCCUCUACGAGCUAGAACCAGGAAAUGGAUGCUCCUUGCUGGACUCCAGGUGAGUAAAUGGUUGCUGAUUGCUGGACUCCAGGUGAGUAAAUGGUUGCUGAUUGUUGGACUCCAGGUGAGUGUAAAUGGUUGCUGAUUGCUGGACUCCAGGUGAGUAAAUGGUUGCUGAUUGUUGGACUCCAGGUGAGUGUAAAUGGCUGCUCCUUGCUGGACUCCAGGUGAGUGUAAAUGGUUGCUGAUUGCUGGACUCCAGGUGAGUAAAUGGCUGCUGAUUGUUGGACUCCAGGUGAGUGUAAAUGGCUGCUGAUUGUUGGACUCCAGGUGAGUGUAAAUGGCUGCUGAUUGUUGGACUCCAGGUGAGUGUAAAUGGUUGCUGAUUGUUGGACUCCAGGUGAGUGUAAAUGGUUGCUGAUUGUUGGACUCCAGGUGAGGGUAAAUGGUUGCUGAUUGUUGGACUCCAGGUGAGGGUAAAUGGCUGCUGAUUGCUGGACUCCAGGUGAGUGUAAAUGGUUGCUGAUUGUUGGACUCCAGGUGAGUGUAAAUGGUUGCUGAUUGUUGGACUCCAGGUGAGGGUAAAUGGUUGCUGAUUGCUGGACUCCAGGUGAGGGUAAAUGGUUGCUGAUUGCUGGACUCCAGGUGAGUGUAAAUGGAAGCGUGUCGGAACCAGAAAGAAGAAGAAUGGUUCUCGGUGCACCUGCCUACUUCCCACGCGUCCGGACUUCAAAUUGCUUUGAGCGCCUGUACCAGCUGUCUUCUGCC